rnacentral:lncRNA from 1 species
GCGCGCAGGCGCUUUCCGGGUGGGACGUCGGGUCGUGUUCUGACAGCUAGCACUCCACUCUUGUUUGCUGCGUGCGUUCGUCGCUUGGCCCGCUUGCUGUUCUCGCAAAAGCGCGGGGCAGAGGAGAGAAAGAAGCCUCUCGUUCUCCGAGAGAGACGCAGAGGCCGCAGUCAGGGCCUGGAUAUACUCGGAGGCUCGGCUUCUCCUCUGGGUGCUCCUUGUUGCUUCCAGGGAAAGUUUAGUCUGGAUCUGAGGCCUCGUGGCGCUCUUCCUGGUUUUUCAAUUUUGGUAAUUCGAGGGAAUGAAUGUCUCAGUGAGGUCUUAAUUGCCGACCCUCUAGAAACGCCAGCGUUUAAGCUUCCACUGUACACCCAGAUCUCAGUGUGUUCAAGGGAAAUGCUGUGCUUUUUUCUUAGUCCUCAGAUUAACUUCUCUUAAAAACAAAACCGUGUUUUGAAGAAAAUGUAUAAUCGCAAAGGAUAACCAAGGACGGUCAUACUAGAAUUUUUGAACAGAGAAUUUUUUAAAUGAAACUAGCAAACGACCUGGGUGGGUUUUUUCCCCCCUCUUUUUGUUUUGACUGUUACCGUCAAUGCUAUCUACCUUGUUCUAAAUACUUCGAAAGCCUCGAGCAACUAAUAAAAUUAGAGCGUUGAAAAAAUGUGACAGCUUUGAUUUCUCUGCUUUUUAAGAGCAUUCAAAUUUAAAUCCAUGAGAUGCUGGAGGGAUAAUGGUCUUAAAAGGAGCACAUUAAUACUGGCUGUUGCCAAGGCACUGUUCUGACAGCUUUACAAGUAAUUACUCACUUAAUCCGCACAACAACUCCUCUAGAAUAUCAUUAUCCUCACUUUAAAGGUGGAGAAAUAGAGUUUGUGGUGAAGUAAAUGGCACCGCUGGAAUCCAAACCCUAAUGAAGCAGAGUCUCUUCUUAACCACUGUCUAUACUAAAGGUAAUUUAAAACAGGGUGCAGACAACAGGAAAGCAACAACUCUGGUUUGGUCACCAUGGUGGUCUUGCCCGGCACAUGGUGGGAGUCCAGCCAGAGCUGAUGGGAGCACCACAGGCAUCUCCCCUGAUGCAGGGUAAAUUGCAGAAGCCGUGGUACCAGCCCGCAUCCAUGACCCCACAGAUAUUCCCCUUCUCCAAGUGGACUGACCCAGGCCUUUUACAAACACAGAAGGAUCUUGUGCAAGAUGAAUUCUAGUACUAGCUACUAAAAGAUCUCUUCACACAAAAGGCAAUAUUCCUGAAUUUGUAUUGGUCCAGGCAUUCGAGAAUCAAGGUGCAUCCGUAGGAAGAAAGAGAGAGAGACCAGUUCUGAAGAGUAUCUGCUGGUGAAUGUUACUUAAAUCUGAACUUUGAGUCAUGAAAAAUAGAAAGAUGUACGUCGUUAUGGUACUGUUUCCAGGUAGGUAUUAUUUCUUUAUCCUCAAUAGGAAUAACGUUUCUAAGCACAAUUUUGACUAGUGUUCCUUCAGAAGCAAAGCUGGGAAAGACCACUUACUUAUUGACUAGCUUCCCAAGCCUUCCCAAGCUUUGUACCAGCUCCCAAGAAAUCAGCACUUGAAUUGUGGUCAAUUGACAUAAUGACAUAUUAGGCUGACGGUUGCCCGCAUAAAAGCAACACCAAAUUGUAUAUUUAUUUUGCUAGAAACUUUGAUUCUUUUCUGACUGAACCUUGGUAGAUUUUGGAGGUUUGCACCUGUUUGUUUCUCUGAAUUAAAAAAAAGUCUUUGUAAAUUCAGUUUUUAGCACACCAUAGAAAGAGCUGUAACUGCAGAAUGAAUAAACAAAUGAGUGGAUGGAAUGACAGACAGUGCUUUCAGGAUACACUCAGCAUACCCCUGCAUGGGAGACAGCCUGGGACCUGGGACCCUUUAUGAAAGCCCUUGCUUGUACCUAGGCCAAGGAGCAACAGAAUACAAAGAAACUAUGAGGGACUAAAAAUAAUUGCACAGUUGCACAGUUGGGGCAGUUCUGAACAACAAGAUACAGAAAAGGCCAAAACCCAAUUGCCACUUUGGAGAUACUGGGCACAAAAGGAGGGGACUGUGCAUGACCUCUGGACCCAGCACCACCAAAGGGGUGGACAGACCACCUGAUCCAUGCCUUUCAUCCAACCCACUGAUCUCCCCCACCCAUACCCUGUUUAAGGGACCAGCUCACCCCCCUGCUGCAGCAUGAGUCCCAAUAAAGCCUUGCCAGAAUUCUUCGUCUGCUAGCAAUUUCUGUUGAUGAAAGGGUACAAGGACCCCAGUGAGAAUCAAAUGGGGCCUGCUGCAUUGUUGUCGAGUCUCAUGAAACCAUAUCUUCGAAAGCUAAUGUGGGAGUUCCCAUUAUGGCACAGCAGUAAUGAACCCAACGAGCAUCCAUGAGGACACGGCCUCAAUCCUUGGUCCCGCUCAGUGGGUUAAGCAUCUGGGCAUUGCUGUGAGCUGUAGUGCAGGGCGCAGACACAGCUUGGAUCCUACGUUGCUGUGGCUAUGGUGUAGACCGGCAGCCACAGCUCCGAUUUGACCCCUAGCCUGGAACUUCCAAAUGCUGUAGGUGUGGCCCUAAAAAGACAAAGGAAAAAAAGAAAGCUAAUGGGGAAAUCAUCAAGUCAUAAAAAUGCUGCUGGGGACCCACGUUUUCAGUGGUCCCUGGCAUUUCCACAGUCAUCGCUUCCUUUCUUUACACAUCCAAAGGCUUAGAAAUCUCCAACCAGAUGCAUUGUAGUGUUCUCCUCAUGUCUCAUGAAACCCAGGGGGAAAAGAUGUAAAAAGAGGGGCAGGUGGUUCAGCAUUUUUUAUGGUUAGACCCCGUUUUUUGGUUCUCUCUUUCUCUCAGGCCUGCGCAUGUGGGCCAGUGUGAAUUUGCAUGGUUACCUGCAGACACAGUGCUCUAAACUUGGCCAAGCAUCGAUGUCACUCACCAAACUCAUAAAGUAACCAGGUCAAAUUUCUGCUCCAGAUGGUGGAUUUAGCCUCAGUAAUUUAUAGUCACACUAUGAAUGGCAAGUUGGGAUGUCAAGCCCUGUGGUCAUACUUAUAUUAGUGGUGUUCCCUGCUGAGGAUCUAGUUUAUGCUGUCGCAUUUCAAACUUGUGUAUUCUUUCACCACUAAUUAUAUAACCAUUGCAAUUUCUGCUUGUCUUCUGCUUUGAAAAAGAUAGUGAUUUUUUUUUUUUUUUUUAGGGCUGCAACUGCGGCACAUGGAGGUUCCCAGGCCAGGGGUCGAAUCGGAGCUGUAGCCACUGGCCUACCCCACAGCCACAGCAAUGCAGGAUCUGAGCCAUGCCUGCAACCUACACUACAGCUCACAGCAAUGCCAGAUCCCCAACCCACUGAGCCAGGCCAGGAAUCGAACCGGAGUCCCCAUGGAUGGUAGUCAGAUUCGUUAAUUGCUGAGCCAUGACAGGAACUCCAAUAUAGUGAUUCAUAAUAUAGGUUUUUAUAUGCAUGCUUUGAAAUGUGCAGUGGACCAUGAACACAGAAAUUGUGAGCUUUAUAUAUUCAUUCAUUCAUUCAUUCUUCUGAGUGCCUAGCACAGUGCCCAGCAGGCAGAAGUCAAUCAAUAUGUGUGUGUGUGUGCACGUGAGAGAAAGAGAGAGUGACUGAGAGAAAAUAAUACAUAAUAUCCUUUUUGAAAAAUGUGCCAAAGGUGUGUGAAGUUGUUUUAUUUUGUUUUGUUGAAGCAUAGCUGAUUUUACAGUUGUGUUAGUUUCUGGUGUAUAGCAAAGUGAGUCAGUUUAAUAUAUAUAUUCUUUUUCAGAUUCAUUUACAUUAUAGUUUAUUACAAGUUAUUGAAUGUUGUUCCCUGUGUUAUUACAGUGGGUCCUUGUUUUUCAUCUGUUUUAUAUGUAAUAGUUUGUAUCUGCUAAUCCCAAACUCCUAGUUUAUGCCUCCCCCCUUCCUUUUUGAUAACCAUAAGUGUAUUUUCUAUGUCUGUGAGUCUGUUUCAGUUUUGUAAAUAAGUUCAUUUCCAGCAUUUGAUUACAUGUAAUAAUGUGAUAUUAUAUGAUAUUCAUCUUUCUCUGACUUCACGUAAUAUGAUAAGUAUUAAGUACGUACAUCCAUGUUGCUGCAAAUGGCAUUAGUUCAUUCUUUUUUAUGGCUGAGUAAUAUUCAUGUAUAUCUCACAUCUUCUUUAUCCAUUCAUCUGUCAAUGGACAUUUAGGCUGCUUUCAUGUCCUGGUUAUCGUAAACAGUGCUGCUGUGAACACCAGGGUGCAUCUUUUUGAAUUAGAAUUUUGUCUAGCUCUAUGCCCAGGAGUGGGAUUGCUAAAUCAGAUGACCACUCUAUUUUUAGUUUUUUAAGGAACCUCCAUACUGCUCUCCAUUGCGGCUGCACUAAUUUACAUUCCUGCCAACAGUAUAGGAGGGAGGGUUCCCUUUUGUGAGAAGUUUUUAAUGCCCCAAAACAUUAAUCCCAAGGCUUAAUGCCAGGCACAAUUUUAAAUGCUUUACCUUAUUGGCACGUUUAAUCCUCAUAAUAGUCCCUAGAGGAGCUUUUCAUUGUCCAUGAACGAACUGGAUGCACGUGAAGGUGGAGGGAAUUGUCCAUGUCAGUGAACGGCAGAGCUAAGGUUUGAACCCAGGCAUCCUGUGGUCAGAGAUUGUGCCUGUCACCAUGAUCCUGCCUUGCCUCUCAAGUUGUGAUGCUGCCAAAGUUCUUAGGUCCCCAGGAGGAACAUGAUAUAAAGUGCAUUUCAUUAAAAAAAAAAAAAA